CGCUGGCGGCAGGCCUAACACAUGCAAGUCGAGCGAGGACUUCGGUUCUAGCGGCGGACGGGUGAGUAACGCGUGGGAAUGUGCCCUUCUCUACGGAAUAGCCCUGGGAAACUGGGAGUAAUACCGUAUACGCCCUUUUGGGGAAAGAUUUAUCGGAGAAGGAUCAGCCCGCGUUGGAUUAGGUAGUUGGUGGGGUAAUGGCCUACCAAGCCGACGAUCCAUAGCUGGUUUGAGAGGAUGAUCAGCCACACUGGGACUGAGACACGGCCCAGACUCCUACGGGAGGCAGCAGCGGGGAAUCUUAGACAAUGGGGGCAACCCUGAUCUAGCCAUGCCGCGUGAGUGAUGAAGGCCCUAGGGUUGUAAAGCUCUUUCAGCUGGGAAGAUAAUGACGGUACCAGCAGAAGAAGCCCCGGCUAACUCCGUGCCAGCAGCCGCGGUAAUACGGAGGGGGCUAGCGUUGUUCGGAAUUACUGGGCGUAAAGCGCACGUAGGCGGACCGGAAAGUCAGAGGUGAAAUCCCAGGGCUCAACCUUGGAACUGCCUUUGAAACUAUCGGUCUGGAGUUCGAGAGAGGUGAGUGGAAUUCCGAGUGUAGAGGUGAAAUUCGUAGAUAUUCGGAGGAACACCAGUGGCGAAGGCGGCUCACUGGCUCGAUACUGACGCUGAGGUGCGAAAAGCGUGGGGAGCAAACA
rnacentral:rRNA from 1 species